rnacentral:rRNA from 1 species
AAUAGAUACCCAGGUAGUCCACGCCCUAAACGAUGCGAACUGGAUGUUGGGUACAUUGCGGUACUCAGUGUCGAAGCUAACGCGUUAAGUUCGCCGCCUGGGGAGUACGGUCGCAAGACUGAAACUCAAAGGAAUUGACGGGGGCCCGCACAAGUGGUGGAGUAUGUGGUUUAAUUCGAUGCAACGCGAAGAACCUUACCUGGCCUUGACAUCUGUCGAAUCCUGCAGAGAUGCGGGAGUGCCGCAAGGAACGACAAGACAGGUGCUGCAUGGCUGUCGUCAGCUCGUGUCGUGAGAUGUUGGGUUAAGUCCCGCAACGAGCGCAACCCUUGUCCCUAGUUGCCAGCACGUAAUGGUGGGAACUCUAGGGAGACUGCCGGUGACAAACCGGAGGAAGGUGGGGAUGACGUCAAGUCCUCAUGGCCCUUACGGCCAGGGCUACACACGUACUACAAUGGUCGGUACAGAGGGUUGCGAAGCCGCGAGGUGGAGCCAAUCCCAGAAAACCGAUCCCAGUCCGGA